AGAGUUUGAUUCUGGCUCAGGACGAACGCUGGCGGCGUGCUUAACACAUGCAAGUCGAACGGUGAUGCGGAGCUUGCUCUGCGGAUCAGUGGCGAACGGGUGAGUAACACGUGAGCAACCUACCCUUGACUCUGGGAUAACAGUUGGAAACAGCUGCUAAUACCGGAUAUGACCCUGGCAGGCAUCUGCUGGGGUGGAAAGCUCCGACGGUCAGGGAUGGGCUCGCGGCCUAUCAGCUUGUUGGUGAGGUGACGGCUCACCAAGGCGACGACGGGUAGCCGGCCUGAGAGGGCGACCGGCCACACUGGGACUGAGAUACGGCCCAGACUCCUACGGGAGGCAGCAGUGGGGAAUAUUGCGCAAUGGGCGAAAGCCUGACGCAGCAACGCCGCGUGCGGGAUGACGGCCUUCGGGUUGUAAACCGCUUUCAGCAGGGACGAAGGGUUUCUGACGGUACCUGCAGAAGAAGCACCGGCUAACUACGUGCCAGCAGCCGCGGUGAUACGUAGGGUGCGAGCGUUGUCCGGAAUUAUUGGGCGUAAAGAGCUUGUAGGCGGUCCGUUGCGUCGGAAGUGAAAACUCAGGGCUUAACCCUGAGCCUGCUUUCGAUACGGGCGGACUUGAGGGAUGUAGGGGAGAGCGGAAUUCAUGGUGGAGCGGUGGAAUGCGCAGAUAUCAGGAGGAACACCAGUGGCGAAGGCGGUUCUCUGGACAUUUCCUGACGCUGAGAAGCGAAAGCGUGGGGAGCAAACAGGCUAAGAUACCCUGGUAGUCCACGCCGUAAACGGUGGGCACUAGGAUGUGGGAUCCAUUCCACGGAUUCCGUGCCCGAAAGCUAACGCAUUUAAGUGCCCCCGCUGGGGGGAGUAGGGCCGCAAGGCUAAAACUCAAAAGGAAUUGAACGGGGGCCCGCACAAGCGGCGGAGCAUGCGGAUUAAUUCGAUGCAACGGGAAGAACCUUACCCUGGGUUUGACAUAUACCGGAAACAUCUGGAGACAGGUGCCCCGCAAGGUCGCCAUACAGGUGGUGCAUGGCUGUCGUCAGCUCGUGUCGUGAGAUGUUGGGUUAAGUCCCGCAACGAGCGCAACCCUCGUUCUACGUUGCCAGCGGUUCGGCCGGGAACUCAUAGAAGACUGCCGGGGUCAACUCGGAGGAAGGUGGGGAUGACGUCAAGUCAUCAUGCCCCUUAUGUCCAGGGCUUCACGCAUGCUACAAUGGCUGGUACAAAGGGCUGCAAUACCGCAAGGUGGAGCGAAUCCCAUAAAGCCAGUCUCAGUUCGGAUUGGGGUCUGCAACUCGACCCCAUGAAGUCGGAGUCGCUAGUAAUCGCAGAUCAGCAACGCUGCGGUGAAAAGGUUCCCGGGCCUUGCACUCUCCGCCCGUCA
rnacentral:rRNA from 1 species